CACGUAGGGCGCGAGCGUUGUCCGGAAUUAUUGGGCGUAAAGAGCUCGUAGGCGGCCUGUUGCGUCCGCUGUGAAAGCCCGGGGCUUAACCCCGGGUCGGCAGUGGAUACGGGCAGGCUAGAGGUAGGUGGGGGAGAAUGGAAUUCCCGGUGUAGCGGUGAAAUGCGCAGAUAUCGGGAGGAACACCGGUGGCGAAGGCGGUUCUCUGGGCCUUACCUGACGCUGAGGAGCGAAAGCGUGGGGAGCGAACAGG
rnacentral:rRNA from 1 species